UGUUUGAAUAUUUCGAUGUAUCAAACUCUUAUAAACAAGAUAGGGUAUUUCUACAUACUAGUGGUACCCACGGCAAAUGGAUCAUAAAGUCUUCAAAAAAGAAUAGAUACGAUUGCAUUGCAUGUAGUAACGGAUGCGAUCAUACCACGAUUAAUGCACCGGAUCCCAUCAGGACUCUACAGUUAAGCGUGCUUGGGUGAGAGUAGUACUAGGAUGGGUGACCUCUCGGAAAGUCCUCGUGUUGCAUCCCUC
rnacentral:rRNA from 1 species